rnacentral:rRNA from 1 species
CUACGGGGUGCUGCAGUGGGGAAUAUUGCACAAUGGGCGCAAGCCUGAUGCAGCCAUGCCGCGUGUAUGAAGAAGGCCUUCGGGUUGUGAAGUACUUUCAGCGGGGAGGAAGGGAGUAAAGUUAAUACCUUUGCUCAUUGACGUUACCCGCAGAAGAAGCACCGGCUAACUCCGUGCCAGCAGCCGCGGUAAUACGGAGGGUGCAAGCGGUAAUCGGAAUUACUGGGCGUAAAGCGCACGCAGGCGGUUUGUUAAGUCAGAUGUGAAAUCCCCGGGCUCAACCUGGGAACUGCAUCUGAUACUGGCAGGCUUGAGUCUCGUAGAGGGGGGUAGAAUUCCAGGUGUAGCGGUGAGAUGCGUAGAGAUCUGGAGGAAUACCGGUGGCGAAGGCGGCCCCCUGGACGAAGACUGACGCUCAGGUGCGAAAGCGUGGGGAGCAAACAGGAUUAGAUACCCCAGUAGUC